CCAAUAGCGUAUAUUAAAGUUGUUGCAGUUAAAAAGCUCGUAGUUGAAUUUCGGGAUUGGCGCAUCGGUCGUGCCUCACGGGGUAUGAACUGGUGCAGUCAAUUUCUCACCUUCUGGAGAACCGCGAUGUCCUUAAUUGGAUGCCGUGGGGAACCAGGACCUUUACUUUGAAAAAAUUAGAGUGUUUAAAGCAGGCAUUUUUGCUUGAAUACAUUAGCAUGGAAUAAUAAAAUAGGACGGCAUGGUUCUAUUUUGUUGGUUUCUAGGACCACCGUAAUGAUUAAUAGGGAUAGUUGGGGGCAUUAGUAUUCAAUUGUCAGAGGUGAAAUUCUUGGAUUUAUUGAAGACUAACUACUGCGAAAGCAUUUGCCAAGGAUGUUUUCAUUAAUCAAGAACGAAAGUUAGGGGAUCGAAGACGAUCAGAUACCGUCGUAGUCUUAACCAUAAACUAUGCCGACUAGGAAUCAGACGAUGUUAAUUUUUUAAUGACUCGUUUGGCACCUUACG
rnacentral:rRNA from 1 species